AUGAAUGCCCUUAUCGGUAUGGUUCCUCCGGAGCCUCGUGAACCAGCAACAGAAGACAAGAAGAAGGAAAGAGUCGCAGCCGGUGCUCCUUUCACGUGGAUUACUGAGCACUUUGGUACUUGCCCACCGGAAGCUAAUGAGGACACGGUCAAGACAUAUGCUCGUGUAUACAUGUGGUACGUGAUAUCCAGGACUAUGUUUGCUGAUGGCACAGGCAAGAAUGCUCCAUGGAUGUGGCUGAAGGCGUUGACUAUCUUCGAUAGCAAUUGGAGUUGGGGUUCGGCGACACUGGCUUACUUGUAUAGACAGGUAUGA
rnacentral:rRNA from 1 species